rnacentral:rRNA from 1 species
GACGAACGCUGGCGGCGUGCUUAACACAUGCAAGUCGAGCGGUAAGGCCCUUUCGGGGGUACACGAGCGGCGAACGGGUGAGUAACACGUGGGUGACCUGCCCUUAGCUCUGGGAUAAGCCUGGGAAACUGGGUCUAAUACCGGAUAUGACACCAUAGCGCAUGUUGUGGGGUGGAAAGCCUUGUGCGGCUAGGGAUGGGCCCGCGGCCUAUCAGCUUGUUGGUGGGGUGAUGGCCUACCAAGGCGACGACGGGUAGCCGGCCUGAGAGGGCGACCGGCCACACUGGGACUGAGACACGGCCCAGACUCCUACGGGAGGCAGCAGUGGGGAAUCUUGCGCAGUGGGCGAAAGCCUGACGCAGCGACGCCGCGUGGGGAUGACGGCCU